CGUCUGUGAUGAUCCUAUCCCGAACCUGAACACCUGUUGAAAAACACAAAACGGAUCUGGCUUCUGAGAU